AUGGCUGGCGUUGACGCGGCGAGGUAUGCGCAGAGCCCAGCGCACCACGCCGUGGCGAUGCAGGACCACGCUGCCCUUCGCCGCGUGCUAGACGCGCUCCCGCAGGCUCGGAAGCCCGAGGAGAUCCGGACGGAGGCGGACUCCAUCGCCGAGGAGGUGCGAGCGGAGGCUGUCUCGGCCAUCCUCGACCGGCGUGACGUCCCUGGGCGCGAGACCCCGCUCCACCUCGCCGUCCGCUUCGGCGACGCGGCGGCAGCUGAGAUGCUCAUGGCGGCGGGGGCCGACUGGAGCCUGCAGAACGAGCAUGGCUGGAGCGCGCUCCAGGAGGCUAUCUGCGCGCGUGAGGAGGCGCUCGCACGCGUCAUCGUGCGCCACUACCAGCCUCUCGCCUGGGCCAAAUGGUGCCGCCGCCUGCCCCGUGUUGUCGCCGCCAUGCGCCGGAUGCGCGACUUCUACAUGGAAAUCACAUUCCACUUCGAGAGCUCCGUCAUUCCCUUCAUCUCCCGCAUCGCGCCCUCGGAUACCUACAGGGUCUGGAAGCGCGGGGCCAACCUCCGUGCGGACAUGACGCUUGCAGGCUUCGAUGGCUUCAAGAUCCAGCGCUCUGACCAGACUAUUCUGUUUCUUGGGGAGGGCUCGGAGGACGGCAAGGUGCCACCAGGGUCCUUGUGCAUGAUUAACCACAAAGAUAAGGAGGUGAUGAACGCGCUUGAAGGUGCUGGCGCGCCGGCCUCCGAGGCAGAGGUCCAGCAGGAGGUCACCGCAAUGUCACAGACGAAUAUCUUCCGUCCGGGGAUAGAUGUCACUCAAGCAGUGCUGCUUCCACAGGUCACAUGGCGGCGGCAGGAGAGGACAGAGGCUGUUGGCUUGUGGAAGGCUAAGGUGUAUGACAUGCACCAUGUUAUGGUGAGUGUUAAGUCAAGGAGGGUUCCUGGUGCUAUGACGGAUGAGGAAUUCUUUUCAGCUUGCAAUGAGAAUGAUACUGAGAGUGAGGGGUUCGAUGAUGUACUGACUGACGAGGAGAAGAGGCAGCUGGAAUCUGCGCUUAAGAUGGAUUCUUCAGAUGCUGUUGGUGACAGCCAGUCCGACACCUUUGUAGGUCCUAGGCAUAGUUGCUUUGAGCCAAGGGAGAGGGAAAUACCAAUUGAGGAUUUGAGCAUCUCUGGAAAUGGGGAGAGUAAGCAUGAUAAGAAAGGUUGGUUUAGUAAUUGGGGAAAGAGGGGUCAAACUGGCAUUAGUAAACUAGAGAUGACAAAGAAGAUGGCACCUCCAAGAAGUUCGCUCUGUGUAGAUGAGAAGGUUAGCGACCUCCGCCUUGCAUCUCCAUCAAAUGUACAAACUAAACCAGGAAGACAUUCAGUGGAUAUAGUGAGAAGGGAUGAGAACAGAAAUGGCAAGGAAAAGGACUGUCGUAAACUUGCAACUUCUGAGAAUGGACAUAGGCGCAAAGAAAGUAGCAAAGAAAGUGAGUAUAAGAAAGGUCUAAGGCCUGUUCUUUGGUUGUCCCCUAAUUUCCCUCUGAGGACUGAGGAGCUCUUGCCACUACUUGAUAUUCUUGCAAACAAGGUGAAGGCAAUCCGUCGUUUGAGGGAUCUACUCACCACAAAACUGCCUCCAGAAACUUUUCCAGUCAAGGUUGCCAUUCCAGUUGUACCCACAAUCAGGGUUCUUGUGACAUUCACAAAGUUUGAAGAGCUACAGCCAUUAGAAGAGUUCAGCACACCUCCUUCCAGCCCUGACAAUUGCAAGAGCCCAGGAGCCCAGACGUCUUCAAGCUCCUGGGUUCAGUGGAUCAAGGCUCCUUACCGCCAGAACUUCUCGACAGCACAAGGUCCCAGCAACCGUGUGGAGGACAUCCAAGACCCCUUUGUUAUCCCUGCUGAUUAUGCCUGGACUACGCCAGGAGAGAAGAAAAAGAGGACACAAGAAAACAAGAACAAGUCAAAGAAAGGCAGAACCGCGUCUUAG
rnacentral:rRNA from 1 species